rnacentral:rRNA from 1 species
UGGGGAAUUUUGGACAAUGGGCGAAAGCCUGAUCCAGCAAUGCCGCGUGAGUGAAGAAGGCCUUCGGGUUGUAAAGCUCUUUUGUCAAGGAAGAAACGGUGAGAGCUAAUAUCUCUUGCUAAUGACGGUACCUGAAGAAUAAGCACCGGCUAACUACGUGCCAGCAGCCGCGGUAACACGUAGGGUGCAAGCGUUAAUCGGAAUUACUGGGCGUAAAGCGUGCGCAGGCGGUUUUGUAAGUCUGAUGUGAAAUCCCCGGGCUCAACCUGGGAAUUGCAUUGGAGACUGCAAGGCUAGAAUCUGGCAGAGGGGGGUAGAAUUCCACGUGUAGCAGUGAAAUGCGUAGAUAUGUGGAGGAACACCGAUGGCGAAGGCAGCCCCCUGGGUCAAGAUUGACGCUCAUGCACGAAAGCGUGGGGAGCAAACAGGAUUAGAUACCCCGGUAGUCCCUGAGCGGGCUGGCAAGGCGCAU